rnacentral:siRNA from 1 species
AGCCUUUGUUGGUUGUUUAACCUG